GACGUAGGGCGCGAGCGUUGUCCGGAUUUAUUGGGCGUAAAGAGCUCGUAGGCGGUCUGUCGCGUCUGCUGUGAAAACUCAGGGCUUAACCCUGAGCUUGCAGUGGGUACGGGCAGACUAGAGUGCGGUAGGGGAGACUGGAAUUCCUGGUGUAGCGGUGAAAUGCGUAGAUAUCUGGAGGAACACCGGUGGCGAAGGCGGCAUCCUGGACCGGUAUUGACGCUGAGGCGCGAAAGCCAGGGGAGCAAAGCGGG
rnacentral:rRNA from 1 species